rnacentral:rRNA from 1 species
UCCUUUGGGAGCAGAGUGACAGGUGGUGCAUGGUUGUUGUCAGGUUGUGUUGUGAGAAGUUGGGUUAAGUUCCGGAAAGAGGGCAACCCCUGAUUUUAGUUGCCAUCAUUUAGUUGGGCAAUUUAAGGUGACUGCCGGUGACAAACCGGAGGAAGGUGGGGAUGACGUCAAAUCAUCAUGCCCCUUAUGACCUGGGGUACACACGUGGUACAAUGGACGGUACAAAGAGCUGCAAGACCGCGAGGUGGAGGUAAUUUCAUAAAACCGUUUCUCAGUUCGGAUUGUAGGCUGCAACUUGCCUACAUGAAGGUGGAAUCGGUAGUAAUUGCGGAUCAGCAUGCCGCGGUGAAUACGUUCCCGGGCCUUGUACACACCGCCCGUCACACCCCGGAGGGUUUGUUACCCCCCGACGUCCGGCUGGGGGUCACCCUUAAUGGAGCCAGCCGGCCUAUUGGGUGGCGAGCUGCCUUG